rnacentral:rRNA from 1 species
UACGAAGGGGGCUAGCGUUGCUCGGAUUGACUGGGCGUAAAGGGCGCGUAGGCGGUUCGUACAGUCAGACGUGAAAGCCCUGGGCUCAACCCAGGAAGUGCACUCGAAACUGGCGAGCUAGAGUACUGGAGAGGUUGGUGGAAUUCUCGGUGUAGAGGUGAAAUUCGUAGAUAUCGAGAGGAACACCGGUGGCGAAGGCGGCCAACUGGACAGAUACUGACGCUGAGACUCGAAAGCGUGGGGAGCAAACAGG